rnacentral:rRNA from 1 species
AAUGGGCGCAAGCCUGAUCCAGCCAUGCCGCGUGAGUGAUGAAGGCCCUAGGGUCGUAAAGCUCUUUCGCCUGUGAAGAUAAUGACGGUAGCAGGUAAAGAAACCCCGGCUAACUCCGUGCCAGCAGCCGCGGUAAUACGGAGGGGGUUAGCGUUGUUCGGAAUUACUGGGCGUAAAGCGCGCGUAGGCGGACUAUUAAGUCAGAGGUGAAAUCCCGGGGCUCAACUCCGGAACUGCCUUUGAUACUGGUAGUCUUGAGUUCGAGAGAGGUAAGUGGAAUUCCGAGUGUAGAGGUGAAAUUCGUAGAUAUUCGGAGGAACACCAGUGGCGAAGGCGGCUUACUGGCUCGAUACUGACGCUGAGGUGCGAAAGUGUGGGGAGCAAACAGGAUU